UAGGGAAUCUUCGGCAAUGGACGAAAGUCUGACCGAGCAACGCCGCGUGAGUGAAGAAGGUUUUCGGAUCGUAAAACUCUGUUGUUAGAGAAGAACAAGGACGUUAGUAACUGAACGUCCCCUGACGGUAUCUAACCAGAAAGCCACGGCUAACUACGUGCCAGCAGCCGCGGUAAUACGUAGGUGGCAAGCGUUGUCCGGAUUUAUUGGGCGUAAAGCGAGCGCAGGUGGUUUCUUAAGUCUGAUGUGAAAGCCCCCGGCUCAACCGGGGAGGGUCAUUGGAAACUGGGAGACUUGGGUGCAGAAGAGGAGAGUGGAAUUCCAUGGGUAGCGGUGAAAUGCGUAGAUAUAUGGAGGAACACCAGUGGCGAAGGCGGCUCUCUGGUCUGUAACUGACGCUGAGGCUCGAAAGCGUGGGGAGCAAACAGG
rnacentral:rRNA from 1 species